CCUCUCGGGGGUAAGCGGGCAGAACUUGCAAGUAUUGAUGAGAGAUUCAGACUUAGUAUUGAUGGCUGAGAGUAUUUGUUAAGUUGUUUGUUCGCAAACUGACUGAUUUGUGCUCUUUGAUCUAUUGAUAAUGCGUCGCACUUCUCUUGUCAUCCGGGUUGAAUGUGACUAAUGUUGUAGUUUAGGUAUUGAGAAUCUGUGAGUCCUUGUUGGCUCAAGUCUUGAUUUCCAACUACUAUUGUGGUCAUUGAAUGAGAACAUGCGAUUAUCGCGUUUAAAGAUUUACACAAGUAGGGUGUACAUUGUAUGUGGACGAGUAAUCGUAGCAUGUGAUGUAGGCUGAUUGUUGGUGUGAGUCUUUAGCAAUGUUCAGUAUUGCAAUCUAAAGCAUGCGUGGUCUGCCUGU
rnacentral:rRNA from 1 species